AACCAUUCUCACCUGCGGCUAGACCUGCGGAGGGAUCAUUAAAAGAACUUGUGCCCGAGACAUUCAUGUCCAAGGCCCCACACUGUGUGCACCGUUUACCGUUCUUUUUGGCAGGGGCUUUGGGUUUCUUUUCCUUCUCCUUGAAGGGGGGAAGAGGAAUUCGAACUUCUCCUUCGGCUCUAUCCUCUCCUCUCAUUCUUUGGGUGGGUUGGGAGAGGACAGUUGGACAUGGGAAGCAGU
rnacentral:misc_RNA from 1 species